GUUAGUUUUUUAGUUCUUCAAAAAUAUUAUUUUAUUUUAUUUGUAUGACAUGUGUAGAACACAAAAACGGUUGACGAAAGUAUUGGUGAAGCACAAAUAUUAGAAUCUCAGUUCACAUUUUCAAAUGACGUCCUUAGAAGCAUUGAUCUUGACUCCAUAACAAAAGCCAAUGUUGAAGUUGAAGAUGAGUUCAAGAACAAAGAAGGUGCGAUCGAGAUGAAUGUAAAUACACCAGCGGAACAUGAGUCAGAAGUUAAUGAUGUGGAUAAUUCAAAGUUAGAUCAGCAACAUAAGAGUGCAGUCCACAUUCCUGCGGGAGUAAAUGAUGAAAGCAAUGUUGAUCAAGAUUUGUCUGACUCUCAGAUCACUCUCUUGGAUGAGCUUCUUCCCUGUCUUAAUGCGUAUGUCAAUCUUGAACGAAGUAUAAUUGUACAUCCAUCCAUCGGCAAAUCAAGCACAACAAAUGCCAAUGCAUGGUUCAAGGAUUAGGCAACCAUCUAGAUACAAUGAGUCACCAUUCACAAUGAAAUUUGGUUCAGCAGAUGUAAGCACGGAAGAGCAACGGAGAACAUUCGAUCAGAAACAUCCCUUCACAUCUCAUCCAGCUAAUGCGAUAGAAGACACUAAGGUCACCAACAAGUUCAUGACGUGACUUUCAUUGGAUCUUAUUAAAUAUCAUUCGAAGA